rnacentral:rRNA from 1 species
GAUCCUGGCUCAGGAUGAACGCUAGCUACAGGCUUAACACAUGCAAGUCGAGGGGCAGCGGGAUUGAAGCUUGCUUCAAUUUGGCCGGCGACCGGCGCACGGGUGAGUAACGCGUAUCCAACCUUCCGUACACUCAGGGAUAGCCUUUCGAAAGAAAGAUUAAUACCUGAUGGUAUGAUGAGAUCGCAUGGUAUCAUCAUUAAAGAUUUAUCGGUGUACGAUGGGGAUGCGUUCCAUUAGGUAGUAGGCGGGGUAACGGCCCACCUAGCCUACGAUGGAUAGGGGUUCUGAGAGGAAGGUCCCCCACAUUGGAACUGAGACACGGUCCAAACUCCUACGGGAGGCAGCAGUGAGGAAUAUUGGUCAAUGGACGAGAGUCUGAACCAGCCAAGUAGCGUGAAGGAUGAAGGUCCUACGGAUUGUAAACUUCUUUUAUAAAGGAAUAAAGUCGGGUAUGGAUACCCGUUUGCAUGUACUUUAUGAAUAAGGAUCGGCUAACUCCGUG